UUAAUCGAGAGUUUGAUCCUGGCUCAGGACGAACGCUGGCGGCGUGCCUAAUACAUGCAAGUCGAACGCACUCUCGUUAGAUUGAAGAAGCUUGCUUCUGAUUGAUAACAUUUGAGUGAGUGGCGGACGGGUGAGUAACACGUGGGUAACCUGCCCUAAAGUGGGGGAUAACAUUUGGAAACAGAUGCUAAUACCGCAUAAAACCUAGCACCGCAUGGUGCAAGGUUGAAAGAUGGUUUCGGCUAUCACUUUAGGAUGGACCCGCGGUGCAUUAGUUAGUUGGUGAGGUAAAGGCUCACCAAGACCGUGAUGCAUAGCCGACCUGAGAGGGUAAUCGGCCACACUGGGACUGAGACACGGCCCAGACUCCUACGGGAGGCAGCAGUAGGGAAUCUUCCACAAUGGACGAAAGUCUGAUGGAGCAACGCCGCGUGAGUGAAGAAGGUUUUCGGAUCGUAAAACUCUGUUGUUGGAGAAGAACGUAUUUGAUAGUAACUGAUCAGGUAGUGACGGUAUCCAACCAGAAAGCCACGGCUAACUACGUGCCAGCAGCCGCGGUAAUACGUAGGUGGCAAGCGUUGUCCGGAUUUAUUGGGCGUAAAGCGAGCGCAGGCGGUUUCUUAAGUCUGAUGUGAAAGCCUUCGGCUCAACCGAAGAAGUGCAUCGGAAACUGGGAAACUUGAGUGCAGAAGAGGACAGUGGAACUCCAUGUGUAGCGGUGAAAUGCGUAGAUAUAUGGAAGAACACCAGUGGCGAAGGCGGCUGUCUGGUCUGUAACUGACGCUGAGGCUCGAAAGCAUGGGUAGCAAACAGGAUUAGAUACCCUGGUAGUCCAUGCCGUAAACGAUGAGUGCUAGGUGUUGGAGGGUUUCCGCCCUUCAGUGCCGCAGCUAACGCAUUAAGCACUCCGCCUGGGGAGUACGACCGCAAGGUUGAAACUCAAAGGAAUUGACGGGGGCCCGCACAAGCGGUGGAGCAUGUGGUUUA
rnacentral:rRNA from 1 species